GCUUAGCAACCUGCUCGGGACCCCUCUCUGUGACUGUGAGCUGUUCUGUUCUUUUGCCUAUUAAACUCCUGCUCCAAACUCACUCGAUGUGUGUGUGCAUGUCCUUGACCUCAAUAUCUGGUCGUGUGACCAAGAACCUCAGUAUUCACCCCAGACAACAAGGCUGCUUCAUUUUGAGGGCUCGUCUGGGAUUUGAAGGUGACUUCAUCAGAAUGCUUUGCUGCUAAAGGGAUCUGCAGUCCAGCUGAAAACCUGCCCUUGCCUGAGCCCAGCCACUUUCUCCCAGAGAAAACUGGAGAACCUAAACAUGAUUGUGAACAGGCGCAGUAAGAUUGAGGAGCUAAAAACAGACUUGGGUGGAUGUCUGCAGCUGCAAGAAGAUGUGUGGGAACAGACACAGAAACUCUCCCUCCCAGAUAAGCAAGACAAAGAAACACAGAAUAAGAGUCCAUCUAUGUGGUCAGAGAAUGGGAUAAGAGCUGAUUUAAAAAAACUCUGCUCUAUAUAGAAGGCACACCUGGUCCCAACCAAACCACUGGACCCUAGGAGGAUAAGACCUCCUCUGCUCAUGAGCCCCCUCCUCAGUAGCCCAUUUAUAAAAACCCUGACAAUUUUACUACCACUUGGCAACCCGCUCGGGACCCCUCUCUGUGAUGGAGAGCUGUUCUUUUCUUUUGCCUAUUAAACUCCUGCUCCAAACUCA
rnacentral:lncRNA from 1 species